rnacentral:lncRNA from 1 species
UUUUUUUUUUUUUCUUUUUUGGGGGGGGUGCAGUGAACUUUAUUGAUGGUAUUCAAGAGACUAGGGAGGGCUCCCUAGGCCCCUCCUGUUAUGGGGGUCUGGGAUGGAAAUUGUGAGGUCAAUGCCAGCCCCAGCAUCGAAGGUGGAAGAGUGGGAGUUGCUGUUGAAGUCGUAGGAGACAACCUGGUCCUCAGUGUAGCCCAAGAUGCCCUUCAGUGGGCCCUCAGAUGCCUGCUUCACCUCCUUCUUGAUGUCAUCAUACUUGGCAGGUUUCUCUGAUCCACAACAGACACAUUGGGGGUAGGAACACGGAAGGCCAUGCCAGUGAGCUUCCCGCUCAGCUCUGGGAUGACCUUGCCCACAGCCUUGGCAGCACCAGUGGAUGCAGGGAUGAUGUUCUGGGCAGUCCCACGGCCAUCACGCUUUCCAGAGGGGCCAUCCACAGUCUUCUGAGUGGCAGUGAUGGCAUGGACUGUGGUCGCGAGCCCUUCCACAAUGCCAAAGCUGUCAUGGAUGACCUUGGCCAGGGGGGCUAAGCAGUUGGUGGUGCAGGAUGCAUUGCUGACAAUCUUGAGUGAGUUGUCAUAUUUCUCGUGGUUCACACCCAUCACAAACAUGGGGGCAUCGGCAGAAGGGGCGGAGAUGAUGACCCUUUUGGCUCCACCCUUCAAGUGGGCCCCGGCCUUCUCCAUGGUGGUGAAGACACCAGUAGACUCCACGACAUACUCAGCACCGACCUCACCCCAUUUGAUGUUAGCGGGGUAUCGCUCCUGGAAGAUGGUGAUGGGCUUCCUGUCGAUGACAAGCUUCCCAUUCUCGGCCUUGACUGUGCCGUUGAAUUUGCCGUGGGUGGAGUCAGACUGGAACAUGUAGACCAUGUAGUUGAGGUCAAUGAAGGGGUCGUUGAUGGCAAUAAUCUCCACUUUGCCAUGUGGAGAGCAGAUGGCAGCCCUGGUGACCAGGCGCCCAAUAUGGCCAAAUCCGUUCACACUGCGACCUUCACCAUUUUGUGGUGGCACUGCACAAGAAGAAGCGGCUGCCUCUGGAACAGGGAGGAACAGAGAGCCUUCAUUGUUUUUAAUUAGGUAUUUUCUUCAUUUACAUUUCUAAUGCUAUCCCAAAAGUCCCCCAGCCCCCCCCCCCCACUCCCCUACCUACCCACUCCCACUUCUUGGCCCUGGUGUUCCCCUGUACUGAGGCAUAUAAAGUUUGCAAGACCAAGGGGCCUCUCUUCCCAAUGAUGGCCGACUAGGCCAUCUUCUGAUACAUAUGCAGCUAGAGACACGAGCUCCAGGGGGUACUGGUUAGUUCAUAUUGUUGUUCCACCUAUAGGGUUGCAGACCCCUUUAGCUCCUUGGGUACUUUCAGGCUCCUCCAUUGGGGGCCCUGUGUUCCAUCCAAUAGCAUCCACUUCUGUGUUUGCCAGGCCCCAGCAUAGCCUUGCAAGAGACAACUAUAUCAGGGUCCUUUCAGCAAAAUCUUGCUGGUGUAUGCAAUGGUGUCAGCGUUUGGAGGCUGAUUAUGGGAUGGAUCCCUGGGUAUGCCAGUCUCUAGAUGGUCCAUCCUUUCGUCUCAGCUCCAAACUUUGUCUCUGAACUCCUUCCAUGGGUGUUUUGUUCCUAAUUCUUAGAAGGGGCAAAGUAUCCACACUUUCAUCUUCGUUCUUCUUGAGUUUCAUGUGUUUUGCAAAUUGUAUCUUGUGUCUUGGGUAUUCUAAGUUUCUGGGCUAAUAUCCACUUAUCAUUGAGGACAUAUCAUGUGAGUCCUUUUGUGAUUGGGUUACCUCACUCAGGAUGAUGCCCUCCAGGUCCAUCCAUUUGCCUAGGAAUUUCAUAAAUUCAUUCUUUUUAAUAGCUGAGUAGUACUCCAUUGUGUAAAUGUACCACAUUUUCUGUAUCCAUUCCUGUGUUGAGGGACAUCUGGGUUCUUUCCAGCUUCUGGCUAUUAUAAAUAAGGCUGCUAUGAACAUAGUGGAGCAUGUGUCCUUGUUACCAGUUGGAACAUCUUCUGGAUAUAUGCCCAGGAGAGGUAUUGCGGGAUCUUCCAGUAGUACUAUGUCCAAUUUUCUGAGGAACUGCCAGACUGAUUUCCAGAGUGUUUUUUUCUAGCAUUUCUAACUACUUAAGAAUAUGUCCAACAAGAGAUCCAUGAUUAAGACUUUAGGAAUACUCUUUACUUAUCAAACUCUAAUUUCCUAUUUGCUCCUCCUACUGGUACUGGUAAUCAAUUUUCCAUUUUCUGUUUCUAUGAAUUUGUUUAUUUUAAGUACUUCCAUAUGUGGAAACAUACAAUAUUUCCUUUUGGGGAAGAGGAGUACUUAAUUUUUUUUUUCUUUCAAAGCAGUGUUUCAAAGUUCAUCAUCUUGUGGCAUGUGUCUAAAUUUUCUUCCAUUUAAAUAGUGAGUAGUACUCCAUUGUAUAUAAGCAUCGUGCUUAUAUAUUUAUGUGUUGAUGGACAGUUAUAAUGUUGCUAUGCAUAUUGAUGUACAAGUGUCUAUUCAAGUUAACUUGUUCUGUUUCUUCUGAGUACAUAUCUAGAAGUGCAUUUGUUAGAUCAUGUUGUUAUUUUGUGCUUACUAUUUAUAAGAAAUCUCCAUACUAUCACAAUGGUUAUAUCUCAGAUCCCACGAUUGUCCCAUAUCCUAAAUAACAUGUAAGGAAGAAGAAUUAAAAAAAUAAAAGCUUAGUGGGGAGGGGGUUGGAGAGAAGGCUCAGGGCUAAGAACACUGACUGCUCUUGCAGAGACACUGAGUUCAAUUCCCAGCAGCCUCGUGGUGGCUCACAACAACUAGUCUGAUGCCCUCUUCUGGUGUUUCUGAAGAGAGCAACAGUGUUCUCACAUACAUAAAAUAAAUCUUU